UAGUAAUGGCAGGUCAGCAUACUGCCGUGAAUACGUUCCCGGGCCUUGUACACACCGCCCGUCACACCAUGAGAGUUGGGAAUACCCGAAGCCUGUGAGCUAACUUAUAGAGGCAGCAGUCGAAGGUAGAAUCAAUGAUUGGGGUGAAGUCGUAACAAGGUAUC
rnacentral:rRNA from 1 species